rnacentral:rRNA from 1 species
UACGGGGGAUGCAAGCGUUAUCCGGAAUCAUUGGGCGUAAAGCGCCUGUAGGUUGUUUAUCAAGUCUGUUGUUAAAGACUAGGGCUUAACCCUAGAAAAGCAAUGGAAACUGAUAGACUAGAGUAUGGCAGGGGUAGAGGGAAUUUCUAGUGUAGCGGUGAAAUGCGUAGAUAUUAGAAAGAACACCGGUGGCGAAAGCGCUCUACUGGACCAUUACUGACACUCAGAGGCGAAAGCUAGGGUAGCAAAAGGGAUUAGAUACCCCUGUAGUCCUAGCCGUAAACGAUGGAUACUAGAUGUUGUGCUUCAUGUACAGUAUCGUAGCUAACGCGUUAAGUAUCCCGCCUGGGGAGUACGCUCGCAAGGGUG